rnacentral:lncRNA from 1 species
CAGCGGGUAUUGGAGUCUCUGAGUAGGCUCAUAUGUUAAUUCUUGAUUGUUUUAUAUAGCUGAACUUUAAGGAAGGUUGUACCUAAACUUCAUCAUAUUUCUUUUUAUUGUGUUGAUUAUUUGCACUUGUAAGAAUCUGUAGGCCUUGCUGUCUUUUGAGUGUAUGGGCCACUUUUGUUUUUAUAUUUUUGGAAAUCAGGAUUUAUUGUUUUGUAUUGGGCAACAUCCUCUAUUUGAUGGAUCUUAAUUCAAUUUACCUUAUUUUUUUUCUAAACAAGUCCUGCUAUUGAAGGUAAACAUGGAUGAAUGUUAUCAUAAGAAAUAGAAUGGAUCAAUAUUUUUCCAUGGGAUAUAGAUAUGUUUAAAGAAAUGAAUAUCAGCAUGUUAACAAGCAUUGUUUACCGACUGAGGUAUAGCAUGGUUGCUCUAUAUUUUCUUUGGACUACAAAGGGGGAAAAAAGCUAGCAAUGAAGUAUAAAGCAAAUGGUACAAACUUUUAUUGUUCUUCUU